rnacentral:lncRNA from 1 species
UCAUCUGGGGUGAAGGGUCCGCGAGGAGCGCCGGGUCUUCCGCUCGCGCUGCCUCCUUCCAGCUGCUCCGACGCCGCAUGUCACUGAGUGAUUCAUUUCGGUUACAAUUUUCAUUCUUUCUCUCUCUCUCUCUCUUUCUUUCAGUGUCUGUGUGUGCCAUAUUUUAACCUGUUGAUUUGGGGAAGUCUGUAAAUUAUGGCCUGGUUCCUAUCAGUACAACAAUGUAAAAAAAAAACCCUCAAUUACCAACUUGAAUGGGUGAAUAAAGGAAGUUUUUGUGUUCACUUUAUUGACUUCCCUGUUUGAUUUACAAUUGUCCAGAUUUGCUCUCUCUUUUGCAACCCGUCGCAAUUCGGUUUAAAGAGCUGCUAACAGCGCAGGCAAUAAAAAUAAGGCGCGUCCUCGAAAUCUGCUUCAUUAAAAGAAAAGAUAGUCAGUCUAAGAGGAGGUUCCAGGCGAGGUAAGGCAUGGCCUCGCGUUUCAAAGGAUCCGGGGGUCUCAGGCGCUCGACUCCCGCUGAGGUGCCCGGACUGGACGGCAGAAAGCGGGGAACGACGAGAGUGAUCUCUGGAGCCAGCGCACCGCCAUUCAGCUCCCUUCAACAGACCAGCAUGGCCUCCAGCCCAGAACAGCAGAGCCGGGGCACAACACGUGGAGCGCCUGCAGGCUGAGCUCCGCUCUUGCAAAACGUCAAUGAGCACCGACUGCUGUGUUCUGUCCUUCAAAAAAGGAAGACUGUGCGUCAGGAAAAAAAAAAUACACGCGCAGCGGUAAUAAAACGAGACUGAAAUUAGCAAGCGGUCUGUGUGGAUAUGAUUCGAGUCGGGUGCAGUUCCGAGACCGAAGGGCGCGCGUUUAUUUCCUCCAGAGCGGUG